GGGAACGAAUGGGAUCUGGUGGUCCCAGAGGACUUCAAAUCCUGCGGUCGGGCGUCAGCGUCCGAGGUGGGUUCGAUUCCCACGCGUUCCCGCCA
rnacentral:tRNA from 1 species